rnacentral:lncRNA from 1 species
CAGCCGCGCCCCCAGCCGUAUUUCCGCGGGCGCUGAGCACUAGAGAGAGCGUCUUGUGGCUGCGGCCUGCCCCUCAGCCUCCUCCGCGCGGUUACCCCUGUACCCGCCGCCAUCCGUCCUGGCGCUCCGGAUGAGUCAAUGAGGGGCAGGGCCCGAGGAGUGGUCUUCCCAAGAACCCCUGGUGGCCUCCCAAGGCCGGUGCUGUGUACCUCCUCCCCGACAAAAGGGGAAACUGAGGCCCCGAGGGGAGUGGGAAGAGCCGGCUGGACGUCAGGCCCAGCCGCUGGUGCAGUGGUCCGUCCCCUCUGCCGGGGUGGGCCCCUCGGGUUUCGCGUGUCCUCGGGAAAGAGACUGGCGGGUGAGCCGCGCCCUCGGCCUUCGCUGGGCUAAGCCGACCCCAUGCAGACGUCAAACCCCCCUAGGCCUCGUGGGCUGUGCGGCUAUCCUGGAGACAGAUGACAGCUCUCCCUUGGAUGGCUUUGCUGGUUCCGCACCAGCCAGCGCCCCCAUUUUUCCUGCAGCACCCUGAUCUGCACUCCCUGAGGGGCUCCCACUGUCCGCGGUGUGAGGAUGUCCCUGGAUAGUCCACUGUGUGCAGAGGCAUGGGAGUUGUCAUGUUGGGAACAUGCUAGACCUCAGUAUCCUUGAGGGAUGCUGCCUUGGGUCUGGAAACUGUUAGAGGAAACCCCAAGAGGUGCAGGCACUGAGCCUCUCAGGACAAUGACCUGGGGUCCCAGCUCCCCUGGAGGGGCCUCCUCAUGAUUGUUUGGGGGUUGAUCACAGACCAAGAGUGACGAGUGAUGUCACCCUGUGACUCAUGGCUGGACCUUCUUGCCCCUAUUGUCUCAGCACAACAUUAUUCGACUUUUCCCUCAGCGUGGGUGGGCAGAGGAAAAGCCCUGUGGCUCUGGGGACUUGGGAUCCAGAGUUGAAGACCCUUCAGCUGGCUCUGCCCUGCCAGUGCCACAGAGUGCCAUGGCCCAGGAAGACAGGUUUUCUUCCAUCUAGGCCAGGCCAUCCAGUGGCCAUCCUCCGUGUCCUCCCGCCUCCUCCUGGUGUGACUUCUGAAAACCAAGAAUUUGUUCCUGUUGACUUUUUCUGUGCUAUGGACCAUUGUCCUCUCACCCACUCAAUAAAUCUUGAAACAUG